GUUUGACUGAUGGUAUGACAUGAGAAUGGCUAGCACAGUGUGAAUUGAUGAUAUUCAUGAACAGGAUGUCUCUGCGUGCUAUCCGCAGGAGAAUCGAAUUUGUAUUAGGUAGCGAGAAUAACGUCUACCAGUACUCAGUAGCCACAGCAAUUCAACGCCUUCGCUGGAUGAAAGGUCGUCGGCAGGCAGAAAGAAGAAACAAGUAGAACCAAAAAGGGAAAAAC
rnacentral:misc_RNA from 1 species